rnacentral:rRNA from 1 species
CUGAACCAGCCAAGUAGCGUGCAGGAUGACGGCCCUCGUGGUUGUAAACUGCUUUUAGUCGGGAAUAAAAGGGGGUUCGUGAACCCCGUAUUGUAUGUACCGUCAGAAAAAGGACCGGCUAAUUCCGUGCCAGCAGCCGCGGUAAUACGGAAGGUCCGGGCGUUAUCCGGAUUUAUUGGGUUUAAAGGGAGCGUAGGCGGGCCGUUAAGUCAGUUGUGAAAGUUUGCGG